CGAGUGAGGGCUUUGGGUCACCUCCCACCCGUGUUUAUUUUACCUUGUUGCUUCGGCGGGCCCGCCUUUACUGGCCGCCGGGGGGCUCACGCCCCCGGGCCCGCGCCCGCCGAAGACACCCCCGAACUCUGUCUGAAGAUUGAAGUCUGAGUGAAAAUAUAAAUUAUUUAAAACUUUCAACAACGGAUCUCUUGGUUCCGGCAUCGAUGAAGAACGCAGCGAAAUGCGAUACGUAAUGUGAAUUGCAAAUUCAGUGAAUCAUCGAGUCUUUGAACGCACAUUGCGCCCCCUGGUAUUCCGGGGGGCAUGCCUGUCCGAGCGUCAUUGCUGCCCUCAAGCCCGGCUUGUGUGUUGGGCCCCGUCCUCCGAUUCCGGGGGACGGGCCCGAAAGGCAGCGGCGGCACCGCGUCCGGUCCUCGAGCGUAUGGGGCUUUGUCACCCGCUCUGUAGGCCCGGCCGGCGCUUGCCGAUCAACCCAAAUUUUUAUCCAGGUUGACCUCGGAUCAGGUAGGGAUACCCGCUGAACUUAAGCAUAUCAAUAAGCGGAGGAA
rnacentral:rRNA from 1 species